AGGGACUGCCAUGGAUACCUCUGGGGAUGUCACAGGGACUGCCACAGCCACCCUGAGGAUGUCACAGGGAUUUCCAUGGAUACCCCUGGGGAUGUCACCCCUGGGGGUGUCACAGGGACUGCCAUGGAUACCCUGGGGAUGUCACAGGGACUGCCACAGCCACCCUGGGGAUGUCACAGGGAUGGUCAUGGAUACCUCUGGGGAUGUCUCAGGGACUGCCACAGCCAGCCCUGGCUCCAGUUAGGGAAUAACCUGUCCUCAGCAAGCCAGCUCCUGUCUGCAGGAGAUGGGGCCAUGAAGAAUCACCGCCCAUCCAUCUCCUCCUGGCCUCAGGUUCCUUCAGAAGUUCAGCUGCACAAAGUACAAUUUCCCAAGCUGUGAGUAGCCAGGGGUCCUCACCAACAGCCUUGACCUAGAGAGCUUUCUCCAGAGCCACCCGGGAAGCUCAAAAACUUCUUUUUAUCGCUUUGCAUCUGACAGCAACCCAAAAACCAUCGGCAGUGGCUGGCAGCCCCUCUGAGGAUCCAUUCCCAUUUCUGUUUUCCAUGAAGCGAGUGCAGCUCAGCAAACCAACCUCUCUGUUUCAGCAGAGAUUCCAUCUGCAACGUUUGAAAUUGGGAUCAGCGCUGCAAAGUAGAGCUGAGUUCACCACCAUCCCUCUUUUCCCAAAUCUCUGUUCAGGAAUAUAGUUUGAUCCAAAUCUCUGGAUUUUCAUACUAUGGAAAGAAUCACAGAUUAAACUGUGCUAGACCAAUUAUUUCUUUCUAUGAGUAAACUGACAAAUUUA